UCCUUUAAUAAAAAUCCUCAAAAAUUAUUAGGUCCUUAAAAAUGAUUAAGUUAUAGUGAUAACUAAGUCAUAGCCUCCCAUUAAGUGAGUGAUAAUGAGUCCAUUAGUUUAAUAAUCAUUGGAGGCCCAAAGGCCUGGUGCUUAUUGACUAAUAGAAUUAUCAUUCAUAGUAUGAUAAUUUGGUUGAGUCUUUCUGAUGGUGGUUAGGUUGGCCGGUCAAAGUCGGACCUGAUCAUUUAUUGGUCAGAUUCACCAAAUCAAGUCAUGUUAAUGGUUGGACCUAACCAGAUCUUUUCAGUGGAGGCCAAAGUCUACUGAUUAGGUUCUGGGGCAAAAUAAAUUACUAGAAGUUGUUUAGAGAAACAACUGGUUAUGAACCUACCCAUAGAUGCACAUGGAUUGACCAACCAAAGUUGGGCUCGUGUGUAGUCUGUGUGGAUUCUAGUACCCACUAAGGAAUUAAAGUAAUUCCUUGAAUUGAAAGUUGAGGCUACC
rnacentral:lncRNA from 1 species